GACGAACGCUGGCGGCGUGCUUAACACAUGCAAGUCGAGCGGUAAGGCUCCUUCGGGAGUACACGAGCGGCGAACGGGUGAGUAACACGUGAGCAACCUGCCCUUCUCAUCGGAAUAAGCGUUGGAAACGACGUCUAAUGCCGAAUAUGACAACGGAUCGCAUGAUCUGUUGUGGAAAGCUCCGGCGGAGAAGGAUGGGCUCGCGGCCUAUCAGCUUGUUGGUGGGGUAACGGCCCACCAAGGCGACGACGGGUAGCCGGCCUGAGAGGGUGACCGGCCACACUGGGACUGAGACACGGCCCAGACUCCUACGGGAGGCAGCAGUGGGGAAUAUUGGACAAUGGGCGUAAGCCUGAUCCAGCAACGCCGCGUGAGGGAUGACGGCCUUCGGGUUGUAAACCUCUUUCAGCAGGGACGAAGCGAAAGUGACGGUACCUGCAGAAGAAGGACCGGCCAACUACGUGCCAGCAGCCGCCGUAAAAC
rnacentral:rRNA from 1 species